rnacentral:rRNA from 1 species
GAUGAACGCUGGCGGCGUGCCUAACACAUGCAAGUCGAGCGAUUUACUUCGGUAAAGAGCGGCGGACGGGUGAGUAACGCGUGGGUAACCUGCCCUGUACACACGGAUAACAUACUGAAAGGUAUGCUAAUACGGGAUAACAUAAGAGAGUCGCAUGGCUUUCUUAUCAAAGCUUUUGCGGUAUAGGAUGGACCCGCGUCUGAUUAGCUAGUUGGUAAGGUAACGGCUUACCAAGGCGACGCUCAGUAGCCGACCUGAGAGGGUGAUCGGCCACAUUGGAACUGGGACACGGUCCAAACUCCUACGGGAGGCAGCAGUGGGGAAUAUUGCACAAUGGGCGAAAGCCUGAUGCAGCAACGCCGCGUGAGCGAUGAAGGCCUUCGGGUCGUAAAGCUCUGUCCUCAAGGAAGAUAAUGACGGUACUUGAGGAGGAAGCCCCGGCUAACUACGUGCCAGCCGCCGCCGUAA